UUCCUGCUAAUCCUAGUAAGUUCCUACUAAGUACUUAUCAAGAUUAAACGAAUUACUUAGUAAGUUCCUAGUAAGUUUUCAAAAAUAAAACAAGUAUAAAAAAUCGUCUUUGUUAUACGCCAUCUUUUAUUUAUUCACACGGAAGACAAGUCAGACAUAAAACAGCUUUUUUAGAUUCAAUAGUUUUACUAAUUAAUAUUUGUAAUUCUAUAAGGAAAAAGCUCAAGAACAUCUGGGGAUGAUUGGCGUGGUUUGCAGUUUAUUUGAUGAAUAUUUGUUAAUGUGUUAUAAUGUGGUUUAAAUGUUAAUUUUAACUCUAUAUAAAUUCGAGCAUUUUCUGUUGUAUCAAUUCGAGCAUUUUCUGAUUCAUAGUGAUAUCUACAGUUAUGGUCGUAAAAGAUUAAGAAAAAUCUUAUGGGUGCAAUUAUUCCACUGACACCUGCGAAAUUACCAAAAGAACUGACCAUCGCUGUUUAUUUUAUUUUUUUAAAUGUUCUAGUUAAACAAUCUAACACUUAA